CUUAAAAUGCGAAAGCUUCUUGCUUUGCCUGAUGAUGAAAUCCCUAGAUCACUCCUCGAUAUCGAUAUGUAUGUUGCAUAUUACAUUUCCUGUAACCAUAACAUAUGGACCCUCUCUCUCUCUCUCUCAUGUAUGCACCUCCUAUAUGAAUUUAAGCUUUGGAAUAGAGCUGAUCUUUUACCAUUUAGAAAAUAACUCUUCCAUUGCUUUCAUUAAUGUUUUGGAAUUGAACAAGAGGUCUCAACUUUGAUAAUUUUGCUGCUUGGCAAAAUCAGUCUUUUGUUAAAUGGAAUAACCUAGAUUUCUGUAGUGAAAUUAACUGGACUGAAAGACCAUGGACGAGGUAGCUAGAAUAGUGCUUCAGGGGAGAGCCAAACACGAGUCAGGAUUCAGGACCACUGACUUAUCCAACAAGAUUUUAAUUAAGCAUUUCUUGAUAUUACUUCUUCCCUUGCAUAUUCAAUAAGACUUUAUUUUGUUGCUGUGGUUUAUCCUUUUAAUAUGCCUGAGUGGGGCGUUAGCUUUUUCUACCUCAAGCAUUUGUUGUUUUAAAACCUUGAAUUUCUGAUACUAUUUAUUAUUUUUUGGUUAAUCAUGCAUUUACAUAUCAUGGCCAUGUCCGCAUCUGCAAAAUUUAGUUCCAGAGUUUUUGACCCUUGGAUUCAAAUAUUUACUGUGAUUAUUUUGGACUUUUUCAGGCUGCGGAUCAGGACUUUGUGGGGAGGCAUUAACUGAAAAUGGUCAUCGAUGCAAGAUUUAUUGUUAUUACGAUGGAAUAUGCAAUCAAACUUGCAAGCUUAUUUUCCAUGGGAUUCAAUUUAUAUUUAUCAAUGGAAUGAUUAUCUUUUGUUGCAGGGCAUACCACUUCGACACCUGGAGUUAUUGAUGGUGCCAUCAGUAUUUCAGCUGUUCAGGGCAUUCUUUGGAUCAUUAUAUAGAUGUUUGGCAAGAGGAGCGAGAGCAGUGUUUCAAGUGUAUCCUGAAAACAUAGCCCAGCGUGAAUUAAUUUUGAGACCUGCAAUGCAUGCUGGAUUUGCUGGUGGUGUGGUUAUUGAUUACCCACACAGGUUUUCGCUUGGCUUUGAUCGUUCCAGCCCUUUCCAACCCUGUAGCCUGAAUGUUCGGGUUGGGAUUAAAAGCAUAUAUCCAUAGAAGGUAUGCAUUCCAGACAAGAACAGACCUAAGAAAAAACGGAAAAUAACCAGGAAAGGGUAGUACAGAGAAUGGAUAUUUAAAAAGAAAGAGCAACUGAGAAUAAAAGGAAACGUUGUGCCUCCUGACACCAGAUACACUGGUCGAAAACGAAAGGAUCGAUUUUGAUCCUUACAUUACAUGUGAAGCCAUCCUAUAGGAAAACUAUACAUAUAAAUCAUCAUGUAUGCUGACCUUCAUGCAUUUCCUUGCUCGUUCCUGCUGCUGCUCGGUGAAUCCAUGCUGAAGAUCAAUCACAUCGUGUAGAUAGCCAGCAUAGAAUACUUGAUCAGAUGACCAAGGCAGAGAAACGAACCCCCCCGCCGUGUUUUGUUACUUUACGCCAAGAUGAAAAACAAACAAACACAAACCGGAGAAGUACGCAAGCCAUACACUGCAAAUGUUGUUGAUCACACAAAUGGGGACACAGUUUGGUUCGUGAACCUUACUGCGUCGAUGAAAAGGCCGAAUGGAGAACUUUUGGCAAUGAUGAUGAGACUGAUGAACAUGAUCCCAACCGCGGUGUUUCUCUCUCAAACCCUCUUUUAACUCAUACCACACUAACAGCUACAAUCUCCAAGCCUGCCAAAGGGUAUUGAUGCUGCUGCUACUGUUGUCGCAUUUUCCAAGAACUGGUUCGAAACCAUUCAAUCAAUAGCUAGUAAUUUAAUGUAUC